UACGUAGGGUGCAAGCGUUGUCCGGAAUUAUUGGGCGUAACGGGCUCGUAGGCGGUCCGUCACGUCGGGAGUGAAAACUUGGGGCUCAACCCCAAGCUUGCUUUCGAUACGGGCGGACUAGAGGUAGGCAGGGGAGAAUGGAAUUCCUGGUGUAGCGGUGGAAUGCGCAGAUAUCAGGAGGAGCACCGGUGGCGAAGGCGGCAUCCUGGACCGAUACUGACGCUGAGGAGCGAAAGCCAGGGGAGCAAACGGG
rnacentral:rRNA from 1 species